UUGAACUUAUCUGUUACUUUUUUUUACUUUUCUUAGCCUUCUUCAUUUUUUUUUUUUUCUU
rnacentral:ribozyme from 11 species